AAAUAGUGGAAGUGAUCGGGGAAAAGAGAAAGUUAUCGACUAAAUUACAAAAAUAGUCGUUUUGCAUCCGAGGUAAGUUACGUGUAAAUAAUAGUUAUAUUUUUAUAAAUUGUGAAUUAUAUUUGAUAUGUGAAUUAAUAUUCAAUGUGGAAGGAAAAUUAUUCAUGAAUUAUUCAAGUGUUAAACUGUUUAAAAUAAAGUGUUAAGUGUAAGUUCUCGGUUGAACUUAGGAAUAGAAGUGGAUACAAGUGACAUGUCACUAGAGAUCAGUGUUACAGUGUUACAAUGAGUCCCGGGUGCUAAGUGAUCUAACAUGUGUUGCAGACACCUGACAGCUUGUGUGAGCAGGCCCGUGGACAUUUCCAGUGUUAUUGAUCAGUGGUAGCUUUGGCUACAUUUCAGUGGUAGCUUCGGCUACAUAACAGUGGUAGCUUCGGCUACAUAUCAGUGUUGCACUUAUGUGCUAAAUCUCUACGUAUCUGUGUAUAUUCCGAGUGUUCAACGGGAUUAAUAAUGAGUUAAAGUGAAUAUGAAAUGAAGUGUGUAUGCAGGUACAUUUGAAAAGAAUGAGCAUAAGUGAUAAAGGUUAAGUGUGAAAAUGUAUAUGCAAGUGAAUUGGUAAGAUUGUGCACGUGUAAGUGAUUGAAAUUGCUAGGAAAUGUUUUGAUUAGUUAUAUGUUAAAAGUGUUAAUUAUUAAAUGAGUAAUUAUUGUUUACAUGUAACUUACUAAGCUAUUAGUAGCUUACACCUUUAUUCUUUUCCUUUGUUUUAUAGUGAUUUGAACUUGAUCGAAUUGGGGAUCGUCGGAGCUCGUAUCACACUAUCAUAAUCAUCUCGGUAUUAUGUGCUUUUCAAAAUGUUUAAACUAUGGCAUGUAUAGAGUCUUAAUCAUUUUGAGCAUGUUCAAAUGAUAUGGCUAAUAUUAGCUAUUGAAGUAGCUAUUAAAGAAUAUGUUUUGGUGUUAUGUAUGUUAAAAUGGUAACUAAUUCAAAG
rnacentral:lncRNA from 1 species